UCUCCGUUGGUGAACCAGCGGGGGGAUCAUUACAGGACUCGCAAGACUCCUACAACCCUGUGAACUUAACUAUAAGCACGUUGCUUCGGCGGGUGUCUCGGAGGGGGUUCUCCCUCCCCGAGACGCUAAACCCGCCGGCAGCCUACUAUACUCUGUCUCUUUGCGUUGGCAUCUCGAGCACAAUCAAACAAGUUAAAACUUUCAACAACGGAUCUCUUGGUUCUG
rnacentral:misc_RNA from 1 species